CUUUGCCUCAGGAAAAAAUUCACAGGGCUCACAAGAGUAAUGACAAGACAGCUGAUGACUGACAGAUUUUUCCAAGUAUAAAAGGGAGAAAAAGGUUGACAUAUUCGCUUACCUGAUCAUUAAGUAAAAGAAGAGCUUCCUCUUCUGAUUCAUCAAGUUUCUGGGGUGGCCUUAAAGCUUUCAAGCAUUUUUUCAGAUUAGAAGUAGAUACCUGACUAGAACGCCCUUCUUGUCUUCUCCCUCUGGUGAAAUGCUACCUAUCCUCCUGAGCCCACAUGGAAUAUCGUCUCUUCUGUGAACCCUCUAGACAUAAUUAAUUGCUGCCCCAUCUGUGAUGCUGUAGUUUCGUUUCUCUUGUAUGAAUCCUGAAACUACCAUGUGGAUGAGCCCAAGCUAGCCUGCUGAAGAAAAAGGCCACAUGUGGAAAAGAACCUCAACAUCCUAGCCUACAGCCAUCCAGCCAUCAGCUGACAACCUGCCCACCACUAGACAUGUGAGUUAGGCCAUGGUAGAUCAUUAAGCCACCAGCCCACUCACCAGCAAAUCACAGACACAAGAGAAAGCCCAGUAGAGAUUGGCUAAACUUGUCAAGACCCAAAGCACUGCCAGGGUACCCACAUAAUUGUGAGUUAAGUAAAAUUAUUUCUAUGUUAAGCCACUAGGUUAUGGGGAAAUUUGUGUUGUGCAGCAAAUACUGAUACAGCUGACAAGAGAUGAUGAACUAGCAGAUUAGAAAGAAGGAGUAGCAGAAGGGCAGAGAAUCAGGAGAUAUUUAGGUAUUUCAAUCAAAAGAACUCCAUGACUUCUUGGCUUGGACCAAUAAGUGGAUGGUGGGGCCUACUGGUGGAGCUUGAGGAUAGUAGAAGAGAAAAGGAUAAGGGAAGAAGAUGGCAAGUACUAUUGAGAAUAUGUAGAACUUGAGGUGGCUGGGAAACAUCUAGGCAAAGAUGUCAAACAGGCCAAUGGGCAGAUGGCUGGAGAGCACCCAGGAGAGAUGCUGGCUGCAGACACACAUUUGAGGUUUGCUUAUGCAGCAGGGUGAUAGAAGUCAUAGUAGAUAAAUUUCCCUAAGCAUACUGGAGAGAGUGAGAGGUUAAAAGGCCCUGAUAAUUAUUAUAUAUGUCAUUUUGGUAAGUUACUCAACAUCUCUGCACCUGUUUUAUUACCUUUAAAAUAAUGUAAUAUUAACUUGACUUACUGAGCUGUAAUAAAGAUUAAAUAAAAUU